rnacentral:rRNA from 1 species
GAUGAACGCUAGCGGCAGGCUUAAUACAUACAAGUCGAGGGACAGCACAGGUAGCAAUACUGGGUGGUAACCGGCAAACGGGUGCGGAACACGUACACAACCUUCCUUUAAGUGGGGGAUAGCCCAGAGAAAUUUGGAUUAAUACCCCGUAAUAUAGUUGAAUGGCAUCAUUUGAUUAUUAUAGCUACGGCGCUUAAUGAUGGGUGUGCGGCUGAUUAGAUAGUUGGUGGGGUAACGGCCCACCAAGUCUACGAUCAGUAGCUGAUGUGAGAGCAUGAUCAGCCACACGGGCACUGAGACACGGGCCCGACUCCUACGGGAGGCAGCAGUAAGGAAUAUUGGUCAAUGGACGCAAGUCUGAACCAGCCAUGCCGCGUGAAGGAUUAAGGUCCUCUGGAUUGUAAACUUCUUUUAUUUGGGACGAAAAAGGGCCUUUCUAGGUCAACUGACGGUACCAGAUGAAUAAGCACCGGCUAACUCCGUGCCAGCAGCCGCAGUAAUAC